rnacentral:rRNA from 1 species
GAUGAACGCUGGCGGCGUGCCUAAUACAUGCAAAUAGAACGCUGAAGGAAGGAGCUUGCUCUUUCCGGAUGAGUUGCGAACGGGUGAGUAACGCGUAGGUAACCUGCCUGGUAGCGGGGGAUAACUAUUGGAAACGAUAGCUAAUACCGCAUAACAGUAGAUGUUGCAUGAUAUCUACUUAAAAGGUGCAAUUGCACCACUACCAGAUGGACCUGCGUUGUAUUAGCUAGUUGGUGAGGUAACGGCUCACCAAGGCGACGAUACAUAGCCGACCUGAGAGGGUGAUCGGCCGCACUGGGACUGAGACACGGCCCAGACUCCUACGGGAGGCAGCAGUAGGGAAUCUUCGGCAAUGGACGGAAGUCUGACCGAGCAACGCCGCGUGAGUGAAGAAGGUUUUCGGAUCGUAAAGCUCUGUUGUAAGAGAAGAACGAGUGUGAGAGUGGAAAGUUCACACUGUGACGGUAUCUUACCAGAAAGGGACGGCUAACUACGUG